rnacentral:rRNA from 1 species
AGCAGGAGCAGGACCAGCAACUAGGGUUGUUUUGUUCACAGAGCAGCCGUCUUUCCCUCUCAAGCGGAGAAGACUGGUUACAUGUCCGAUCCGGUAGGGAUGGUUCUUCUCGACAGAUUAAGCUACUUACUAUAGUUAGGGUAUUGAACAACGGGUGGCAACUUGCCCAAUAAGAAAAGUCGCCCGAGUGAAAGAGCUCUUGUUUUAGUAGCUAAGGAGUUCUAGUUGUAGCUAGGAGUUGCUAGCAGCUAUGAGUUCCGAGUUGACGAGAUCAUAAACAAAUCUGUCUGGGACUGGUGACACCUGUACCACACUCUAUGGCACACACCCCUCGUUGUAGUAGACGAAGAUGGUCACCUAGGAUAGGCAGACAACCCUGAACCUUAGAAAGUCGCCGGCGGAGACGCUACGGGAGAACCGCCUAGGAUGGCGUAAGAGACUCGAGCAUCUCUUUCUUCAAUUUGGGUUUGUGCAUUUGUCUUUCAAAUAGGUCAAGGGUUCAGACAGGAGAUGUGCUUUAGCCAAAGAAGCUUGGGCACCUGCUCCAAUAAAGCUAAGAGGACUAGCUACGGUGUGGGCACCAGAUCCACUCAGUGAGGCCGGGCAAGACUUUACGUCCGAUAUAGUAGUGUCAGACAUUUGUCAUACUUAAGCAGUGGGAUAGACUCCUUCAAAUGGAAAGAUAGGAGAUGUUUAGCCAGUACAAGCUGUGUUUGUGGCACCCAUCCGGGUGGAGUAGCCAGGAAGAGGUUCUAAAGGAACGAAGGUACUCGACCAAAGGAAGUCUUUUCAAGUACGGUAGACACUAGACAUUCCACAUUGGAUGAAUGCCCUAAAGGAAUGCUUACCGAUUAGUAGACUGCCCUUGAAAGCAUACUUUUUGUCGAUUUCGGAAAGGAUAGGUGGUCCUCAUUUACAAGAAAAGAGACUCUCAUGAGUGCGACUAUGCGCAUGGAUUAGAACCAUAAAAAGAGUUUCCGUAUCACUGCAUUUCGUAACAUGCAUUCGGCUUAAAAGCAAUGUGUAGUCAUAAUGAAAGUCAUCCUUCCCUGAUAAUAAAGCGGUAUUCCGGAUCGAUCCCUAUGAAGUAGUCUCCAUCAGGCAGGCCUGUAAGGCUUUUAAUACUUUGAAACCGUUUCAGUAGAACUACUCACUAGUCCUAACUUUUUGCACAUGUAAACCAGACCCGCCUAGUUUGAAAGGCUCAGCAAGAGGCAGUCUCUAGUCCAGUCUAGCGGUCAUGUUUGAAUCCGAACUAGUUGGAGAUUCGCACAUGACUCUACGCAAUUUCAUGAUGCAAAAGUCAGACUAAGCCCUAAAUGAGUAAGGCAACCAGGAAAUAAACCUAGUUGAUCAAAAAGAAUUUCCGCUUUUGACGCUGAUUGAAGCAGGGAUAGCCUCCACGUAACUAACAUGGCCGUCUUGAGCAAAACAAACUCAGCCCUACUUAGCCCUACCUAAUACGGAGCAGCACCGCUUGUCCUAUCCUAUGGUCUCGAGGCAAGGAUUUGGUGUCAAGCCAUUAAACUUCCUUCCGGGGAGCUUUGAGCUAGGGUGCUGCUACGUGUGGAAGUGAACCGAUCCAGUUUUUGUCUUUGAGCGGAAUGUAGUUUAUAGUUUUGCUUUAGCGAAUGGGGCAAUGCAACAAGAAGAUAGCCCGGCUAGCGAUACCAAGGAUUGUUGGCAAGGCUAAAAAACACAUCACAUCGCGACUGAUGCCGUUGUCGCGCUUGACCUGCUAAGCCUUUUGGGCUUAAAUAAGGAAUCCAGGAUAGGAUGGAUUGGCCGAACUUCGCCGCUCGGCCCUCUAAGAGAUCGACCUCUAGUAGGUUUGGCUUGGAGCCGUGAUGCCACCGCUGCCUGUGGGGAUUGGGACAUCUUAUUAAAGUCUAUGGCGCCCGGCUGGGCAUUAGUGAAGCUUUCUUCUACGAAUUGGUUUAGCGCGAAUAGGUAAGAUGCUUGCUUCAAGCGGACCACUCCUCGCUCUUAGCCCUUCUCGGCUGAUAGAAUGUGAAUUAUCUAGUUUUGGUCCGAGCAGGCGCGAAGUCAAGGGCUUGCUUGAGGGCGUUAAGCUCCCACCCCCUUCCAUGAGAUAGUAAAAUUUUAGCAUCUAUGAAGGAUCAUAUUGAGAAAAGAAGGAACGAAGCUACGAAAGGAGUUGAGCAAGAGCUAUAAGAAGAACGUUUACCUCGUCCUUCUGUAAAGGGAAGCACAAGGCUCACAGGCAAUCUCAUACGUGAAGGGUUCUCGUUUUCUAUAAGCAGACUUUGAGACUAUACGAACAAGAACUAGAUCACACCUAGUGCUUUUGGUCGUUUUAAAAAACGAAGGAGUAGGCCGAGGAACUCUACCUUACGAAUUUUCCUGCCUCCGCUCAACCUUUCUACCCCACCUAUACUAAUAUAGGAAGGAGGAUUUUUUCCUAUUCAGUAGAUUUAAACGAGCUAAUGCUAGAAGAGAGUGCGGGAAGAGUUAGUAUGGGAAUGCGGAUAAAGAGAAAGAGACUGAAGCAGCAGGGCCUGAUAGAGAGACUGCCCCUGAGGCUUAGCUUAAACCUUCUGUGUCUGUAUCGUCUCACUGAGCAGAAACACAAUCAUUUUAAUACCAGUAAACGACCCAAAAGUAAACCUUCCUUCCUAAAGCUAUGAAAUGAAGGAAGAAAACAACGGUGGUCUACGAUCAGCUAGCGCGCUCAUCCCUAGCUUGGUUCUUCCACUACCCCCCACGAAUCACGAGCAAGAACGAGACUGCAAAAAACUUACUUUAAAAGAGAAUUUCGCCUCAAAAGGAAUUAAAUUCAGCUCCGAGCGAUAAAAAGGGGUUGUGACGAUACAAGAAAAUAAUUUCCUUUCCUCUUGAUGACGGGGGUUUCAUGAAAGUGGGACCAUUGAGAUGUCACUUAGGAAGGGAAAAUUCAUUUAGACGAAAAACGCGGGGUUUGAUACAAGUUAAGUUGCACGAUUGAAAUUGGAAUUUUGAAGGGAAAAGUAAUUGAUGACAAAAAUACCGGGAAAUUUAAUUUGACUAGGAAUACCCAAUUCGUGAAAGCGGGUAGACAACAUCUUUGUUGAUAAAAGACGUCUAGAUACCCUUAGCGUGAAGGAGAUCGAAAUAGGCUCGCUUUCAUUUAGCGUAUCAUUUUUCUGUCUAAUGUCGAGGAGGCCAUCGCAAGCUCUAACAUCCGAAGCUAGAGUGGUUUCUGAGCUAGAACAUCCAUAUUCACGUCCGAGCCCUAUAAAGUAAAGUAAGGGGCCCGAUACCAGAUCCGCUUUCAUUCGACGAGCCGUCAACGAACAAUCUCCGCCCCGAACUCUGAGCAAACAGGUCUUGGAGGCCUAAAACAACGAGG